CGAAGGAGUGGCGAACGGGUGAGUAAUACAUAAGCAACCUACCCACGAAGACUGGGACAAUCUCUGGAAACGGGGACUAAUACCGGAUAGGUAAUCGGAAGGCAUCUUCUGGUUAUUAAAGGUUAAAAACACUGGUGGAUGGGCUUAUGGCGCAUUAGUUAGUUGGUGAGGUAACGGCCCACCAAGACGAUGAUGCGUAGCCGGCCUGAGAGGGUGAACGGCCACAUUGGGACUGAGACACGGCCCAG
rnacentral:rRNA from 1 species